rnacentral:rRNA from 1 species
UACGAAGGGGGCUAGCGUUGUUCGGAUUUACUGGGCGUAAAGCGCACGUAGGCGGAUUGUUAAGUGAGGGGUGAAAUCCUGGAGCUCAACUCCAGAACUGCCUUUCAUACUGGCAAUCUAGAGUCCGGAAGAGGUAAGUGGAACUCCUAGUGUAGAGGUGGAAUUCGUAGAUAUUAGGAAGAACACCAGUGGCGAAGGCGGCUUACUGGUCCGGUACUGGACGCUGAGGUGCGAAAGCGUGGGGAGCAAACAGG